rnacentral:piRNA from 1 species
UNCAGAUAUUUAAUUUGUAUUAUGCAUGUAGC